UCAUCCACGAACCUUUGCUUCUUCGAACACAAUAGGCCGGAGUGAUUCGCAAUAACGUUGUUAUCUCCAUUCUUAUUCAGUCGUUUGUGGUGUAACCCAUCGAAUUAUCUCACACCUCAUGUGCUCUUCUCGUCAUUAUUACGAGGACGGGUUUUAACCGGAGGAUGGAAUCGAUUUUUUGGAGAUGUUAGAACGUUACGGACCGGUAAUUCUUGAUCUGAAAAGAUAAAUUUUCUCCUUCGAUGUUUUCAUUCAUCUGCAUGGAAGAGACGGCGGAAGAGAUUUUAAUUCCCCAUAAAUAUAUUCAGGCUGGAGUUUACGCAUUUGAUGGAAGGAGGCAUUGGACUAUUUUGCGGUUGUCCGAUGGGCUGUUAUACCGUCGUGUGUGAUGUCACGGUUGACGGCUUCCGCAGGCCGAGACAUGGUUUUAAUUAUCAACUCGUCCUUCAAAUUGUCGCCGAGGGGAUGUAUUCAGUGGUAAAGGCAUUCACAUUGGAAAUUCACCAGAAGGGUGCUACUCUGGAGAGAAUUUCAAAGGGUAUGAGAAGAUCUCUCGGAAUUUUUGUCUGAAUUUAUCGAUUCCGAAGCUAUCAGCCAGACGAUCAAAACAAUUUUUGUUGAAAUUGAUCGAAUCAAUGUU